GAUGAACGCUGGCGGCGUGCCUAACACAUGCAAGUCGAACGGAGUUUUAUGGAAUGCGACUUCGGUCAAAUGAAGUAAAACUUAGUGGCGGACGGGUGAGUAACGUGUGAGCAACCUGCCUUUCAGAGGGGGAUAACGCAGAGAAAUCUGCGCUAAUACCGCAUGACAUGUUUGGAUCGCAUGAUCUGAAUAUCAAAGGAGCAAUCCGCUGAAGAUGGGCUCGCAUCUGAUUAGAUAGUUGGUGAGGUAACGGCUCACCAAGUCAAACGAUCAGUAGCCGGACUGAGAGGUUGAACGGCCACAUUGGAACUGAGAUACGGCCAG
rnacentral:rRNA from 1 species